rnacentral:rRNA from 1 species
CUACGUGCCAGCAGCCGCGGUAAUACGUAGGGUGCGAGCGUUAAUCGGAAUUACUGGGCGUAAAGCGGGCGCAGACGGUUACUUAAGCGGGAUGUGAAAUCCCCGGGCUCAACCCGGGAACUGCGUUCCGAACUGGGUGGCUAGAGUGUGUCAGAGGGGGGUAGAAUUCCACGUGUAGCAGUGAAAUGCGUAGAGAUGUGGAGGAAUACCGAUGGCGAAGGCAGCCCCCUGGGAUAACACUGACGUUCAUGCCCGAAAGCGUGGGUAGCAAAUAGGAUUAGAUACCCUGGUAGUCCACGCCCUAAACGAUGUCGAUUAGCUGUUGGGCAACUUGAUUGCUUGGUAGCGAAGCUAACGCGUGAAAUCGACCGCCUGGGGAGUACGGCCGCAAGGCUGAAACUCAAAGGAAUUGACGGGGACCCGCACAAGCGGUGGAGCAUGUGGUUUAAUUCGACGCAACGCGAGGAACCUUACCAGAUCUUGACAUCCUG